CUUUUUUUUUUUUUUUUUUUUUGGGGGUGGGGAAGGGUGAGCUCUAUAAGCAGUUGGGAGGUUUGUUUUUUAUUUUAAAGUACAUAUUGUUGAGGAGUGUGCUUAAGAAAGUUCAAAAAGGAUAAUGGGCAAGUGUCAUUUGGUCUAAAACUAUAAUUGGUAAAGAAUAAGAAGAAGGUUUCUUGUAAAUUACUUGGUAUCUGUUUGGUUCAGUUAGAAUACCUGACUAUGAAGAACUACUGUGACAUUUCACAUACUUUCAGUAUUUAAAGAAACUUGUCAGUUGCUCUUUGAAUACUUCUUUAUUAAAAUCAGCUUCUUUAACUUGAUAGUCUUUACAAAUAGCAUUGAUAGUAAGGCAAUAAAAAUUGAACGUAAAUAGUCCUGAAGAUUCAGAGUCCCCUGUGCCAAAAAUUAUGGCACAAAUUUGAUUAUGUGAUUGUGGAAAUGUUGGACGGUAAUGAGUAAAAAUAAUUAACAGUGCCUAUAAUUAAAUUAAUUUGCUCUGAUUUACAUCUCCAUUGAUGUGGGUCCAACACAUUAUUGUAAGGAAAUUUAGAAAGUUAUUGAUAUCAACAGGACACUUGAACUGCUUCAUGUUAAGCGUGGGCUAAGGGUUUUUUGGUCAGUGGGUGAAUAAGGUCUCCAUCCUGUCUUGAAAUUCAGCACACUGACUUUUUGUGGACUUAAUGCACAAGGGCAGAUUUCUGUAAGUAGUUGUACUGAUUUGAACUGAACUACUUGCAUGUCUAAGGCAAGUAUAAUUUAUCCACAGUUUUUAGUUAUUGUGGGGAAUGCACUGAAAAAGUCAAGGGAUUUUAAUAGGGAUGAAAAGAUGAAGAUAAGGUUUAUUUAAAAAAAAAAAAGUUGUUCUUUUUAUAACUACUUUGAGCAAACUGUCCACUAGUAAUAAUGAACCACAAUGACUAACAGCACAUUAAAUACUUUUGCUUAUAUUUUUCAGUUAGUUAAUGAAGACACCUUUUUUAAUAAGAAACUAGACUGAGCUCAAAAACUAUUCUAAAUGUAAUUUUAUCUGUUGGAUAUUAGUUUGCUUUAUCUGGAAAAAAAACCCCAAUCUCUUCUGUGUUGAAAGAUCACAUCAGAUAACAAGAAAUAGAUCUAUUAUUUAUGCUGUUAACACUGAAAUAGUUUUCUUGAGGUGCAAUAUUUAUUUUUCUGCUUUAACAAGACACGUUUAUUGUUCUUCCUGCACAGCACAGAUGUUUCUAGUAAAAGGAAUUUUAAAAGGGCACUAUUUUUGUGUAUCAUAUUUAAAUUUGUAAUAUUGUAAGAUUUUGCACAAGUGUGCUGGUAUUGUACUGUAUAGUAUCACAUACUUGAGUUUUGAAAUAAAAGUAUGGUUUCAAAGUC
rnacentral:lncRNA from 1 species